rnacentral:rRNA from 1 species
UACGUAGGGGGCAAGCGUUGUCCGGAAUUACUGGGCGUAAAGGGCGCGCAGGCGGCUUUCUAAGCCUGACGUGAAAUCCCCCGGCUUAACCUGGGAACUGCGUCUGAUACUGGGAAGCUUGAGUAUGGGAGAGGGAUGUAGAAUUCCAGGUGUAGCGGUGAAAUGCGUAGAUAUCUGGAGGAAUACCGGUGGCGAAGGCGGCAUCCUGGACCAUUACUGACGCUGAGGCGCGAAAGCGAGGGGAGCAAACAGG